rnacentral:rRNA from 1 species
GCUGAAAGCAUCUAAGCAUGAAGCCCCCCUCAAGAUGAGAUUUCCCAUAGCGUAAGCUAGUAAGAUCCCUGAAAGAUGAUCAGGUUGAUAGGUUCGAGGUGGAAGCAUGGUGACAUGUGGAGCUGACGAAUACUAAUAGAUCGAGGACUUAACCAUAUAA